rnacentral:rRNA from 1 species
GACGAACGCUGGCGGCGUGCUUAACACAUGCAAAUCGAACGGAAAGGCCCUGCUUUUGUGGGGUGCUCGAGUGGCGAACGGGUGAGUAACACGUGAGUAACCUGCCCUUGACUUUGGGAUAACUUCAGGAAACUGGGGCUAAUACCGGAUAGGAGCUCCUGCUGCAUGGUGGGGGUUGGAAAGUUUCGGCGGUUGGGGAUGGACUCGCGGCUUAUCAGCUUGUUGGUGGGGUAGUGGCUUACCAAGGCUUUGACGGGUAGCCGGCCUGAGAGGGUGACCGGCCACAUUGGGACUGAGAUACGGCCCAGACUCCUACGGGAGGCAGCAGUGGGGAAUAUUGCACAAUGGGCGGAAGCCUGAUGCAGCAACGCCGCGUGCGGGAUGACGGCCUUCGGGUUGUAAACCGCUUUCGCCGGUGACGAAGCGUGAGUGACGGUAAUGGGUAAAGAAGCACCGGCUAACUACGUG